CAUAGCCGCGGGAAUACGAAGGGGGCUAGCGUUGUUCGGAUUUACUGGGCGUAAAGGGCGCGUAGGCGGACUGAUAAGUCAGGGGUGAAAUCCCAAGGCUCAACCUUGGAACUGCCUUUGAUACUGUUUGUCUUGAGUUCGAGAGAGGUAAGUGGAACUGCGAGUGUAGAGGUGAAAUUCGUAGAUAUUCGCAAGAACACCAGUGGCGAAGGCGGCUUACUGGCUCGAUACCGACGCUGAGGCGCGAAAGCGUGGGGAGCAAACAGGAUUAGAUACCCGCGUAGUCCCUGUCUCUUAUACA
rnacentral:rRNA from 1 species